UCUAGGGUGGCUGCAGUGGGGAAUAUUGGACAAUGGGCGAAAGCCUGAUCCAGCCAUGCCGCGUGUGUGAAGAAGGCCUUCGGGUUGUAAAGCACUUUCAGUGGGGAAGAAAGCCUUGGGGCUAAUACCCUCGAGGAAGGACAUCACCCACAGAAGAAGCACCGGCUAACUCCGUGCCAGCAGCCGCGGUAAUACGGAGGGUGCGAGCGUUAAUCGGAAUUACUGGGCGUAAAGCGCGCGUAGGCGGUCUGAUAAGCCGGUUGUGAAAGCCCCGGGCUCAACCUGGGAACGGCAUCCGGAACUGUCAGGAUAGAGUGCAGGAGAGGAAGGUAGAAUUCCCGGUGUAGCGGUGAAAUGCGUAGAGAUCGGGAGGAAUACCAGUGGCGAAGGCGGCCUUCUGGACUGACACUGACGCUGAGGUGCGAAAGCGUGGGUAGCAAACAGGAUUAGAUACCCCAGUAGUC
rnacentral:rRNA from 1 species